UGUAUUCUUAUUGCGGAUGCAGCAAGAGAUGCCACCAAUUAGUUAGCAGCAUAUCCUGGGACGUUGGGAAGUUACAGCCCCCGCCGCGCGCCUUCUUUCUAUAAGAAGGGCCGGCACACGGGUGGAGCGGGAGACGUUUCAGGAAUCUAUCGACCCUCGCUAUUUCUCUCUCGGCUUUGCUUGUUGGUCUCUGUUUCUAGGGUUUAUUCCAAGUUCAGAUAAUGACGUUGGAGUUGUUCUUGUUGGGGUGUACCGGAGUUGUCCUCUUCCUUCACGGAGCCAAUUUCUUAUUCCAUGCUCUCUCCCAUCACAUAGCUGUUCGAUCUCUCAGUUUCUUGGGGUUUGUCGGAUGGUGAAGAUGAUUGACUACGCCUACGCCGAGUCCCUCUUCCCGGCAAGAGCCGGAGCCGGAGAAACCUUGCACUUGUAAAUUUUUUUUUUUUUUUUUUAAUACCAAAGGAACUUCUAUUUUUGGUUUGCUGUUUGUUACUAUUUUAGCUUAAAUUAAAUACAUGAAAAAGAGAGAAUAAAUGUAAGGCCCAUGUCGAUUGUUCGACAGCAGGAAGUGAAAUAAGAUUCUAAUUCUCGAUCUUUCUCAUUCUA